AUGGUUUCAAGGUCUUUCAGCAACAAAAUUCUGUCUCAGCCAACAACAUGGUGCCAACAACAAUAACAAUUU